UCUUUCUUUGGCUGGCGACCGGCGCACGGGUGAGUAACACGUAUCCAACCUGCCCUUUACUCGGGGAUAGCCUUUCGAAAGAAAGAUUAAUACCCGAUAGCAUAAUGAUUCCGCAUGGUUUCAUUAUUAAAGGAUUCCGGUAAAGGAUGGGGAUGCGUUCCAUUAGGUUGUUGGUGAGGUAACGGCCCACCAAGCCUUCGAUGGAUAGGGGUUCUGAGAGGAAGGUCCCCCACAUUGGAACUGAGACACGGUCCAA
rnacentral:rRNA from 1 species